rnacentral:misc_RNA from 1 species
GAUGAAGAACGUAGCGAAAUGCGAUAAGUAAUGCGAAUUGCAGAAUUCAGUGAAUCAUCGAAUCUUUGAACGCACAUUGCGCCCGCUAGUAUUCUGGCGGGCAUGCCUGUCUGAGCGUCAUUUCAACCCUCGCCCCCGGCUUUUGCUGGGAGCGGUGUUGGGGAUCGGCCGCCCGUCACUGGGAGGCCGGCCCCGAAAUAGAGUGGCGACCACGCCGUGUGCUCCUCCGCGUAGUAGUAAAUCACCUCGCAGGCGGACAGCGGUGCGGCCUGCCGUAAAACCCCCAACUCUUUCUGGUUGACCUCAGAUCAGGUAGGAAUACCCGCUGAACUUAAGCAUAUCAAUAAGCGGAGGA